UCUCUGGUGGCUCAGAUGGUAAAGAACCUGCCUGCAAUGCAGGAGAUGCAGGUUCAAUCCCUGUGUUGGGAA
rnacentral:tRNA from 1 species